GCUGUCGUGGCCCAGUGGUCGAGGCGCCGGGUGUCCACCGCGAAGGUUUGGGUUCGAACCCCGCGGGCGGCA